GAUGAAGAACGCAGCGAAAUGCGAUAAGUAAUGUGAAUUGCAGAAUUCAGUGAAUCAUCGAAUCUUUGAACGCACCUUGCGCCCUUUGGCCAUUCCGAAGGGCAUGCCUGUUUGAGUAUCAUGAACACCUCAACUCUCAUGGCUCGCCAUGAUGAGCUUGGACUUUGGGGGUCUUGCUGGCCUGUGGUCGGCUCCUCUCAAAUGGAUCAGCUUGCCAGUGUUUGGUGGCAUCACAGGUGUGAUAACUAUCUGCGCUUGUGGUUUUCCAUCAGAUAACCUUAAGUGAUGGAGGUUCGCUGGAGCUCAUAAACGUCUCCCCUAAGCGGGGACAGCCCUUUGAAUGUUUGAUCUCAAAUCAGGUAGGACUACCCGCUGAACUUAAGCAUAUCAAUAAGCGGAGGA
rnacentral:misc_RNA from 1 species